GCAUAUCAAUAAGCGGAGGAAAAGAAACCAACAGGGAUUGCCUCAGUAACGGCGAGUGAAGCGGCAACAGCUCAAAUUUGAAAUCUGGCUCCUUCGGGGUCCGAGUUGUAAUUUGCAGAGGAUGCGUCGGGUACGGGUCCCUACCGAGUUCCCUGGAACGGGACGCCAUAGAGGGUGAGAGCCCCGUCUGGUAGGAUACCCAGCCCAUGUGACGCUCCCUCGACGAGUCGAGUAGUUUGGGAAUGCUGCUCUAACGGGAGGUAUACUCCUUCCAAAGCUAAAUACCGGCUGGAGACCGAUAGCGCACAAGUAGAGUGAUCGAAAGAUGAAAAGCACUUUGAAAAGAGAGUCAAACAGCACGUGAAAUUGUUAAAAGGGAAGCACUCGCUACCAGACUUGGGUUCGGCGGUUCAACCGGGGCCACGCCCCGGGGCAUUCCGCCGGCUCAGGCCAGCAUCAGCUUUCCGUCGGGGGCAAAGACGUCGGGAAUGUAGCUCCUCCUCGGGGGAGUGUUAUAGCCCGGCGUGUCAUACCCUUCGGGGGGCUGAGGUACGCGCUUCUGCAAGGAUGCUGGCGUAAUGGUAGCUAGUGACCCGUCUUGAAACACGGACCAAGGAGUCAACCUUAUGUGCGAGUGCCCGGGCGUAAAACCCCAGCGCGGAAUGAAAGUGAACGUAGGUGAGAGCUUCGGCGCAUCACCGACCGAUCCUGAUGUCCUCGGACGGAUUUGAGUGAGAGCAUAUAGGGUUGGACCCGAAAGAAGAUGAACUAUGCGUGUGUAGGGUGAAGCCAGAGGAAACUCUGGUGGAGGCUCGCAGCGGUUCUGACGUGCAAAUCGAUCGUCAAACAUGCGCAUGGGGGCGAAAGACUAAUCGAAUCUUCUGGUAGCUGGUUUC
rnacentral:rRNA from 1 species